CAGUCAGCGCCCUACGUUGUUAUCUUAAACAAAAUACACAGACCACAGAGACGGAAUGUACUGGGGGUGAAACCCAGUGCUUCUCAGUUACGUUGAAUACCCUCUACAAGGGAUGCGCAACUGAUACUCGGUGUGACGAAAUGCUGAGCUCGAAAAUUGGCCGUGACAAAUCUUGCUGUGAAACCAACUUGUGCAACAAGUGAGCACACCAAUUGGCUGCAGUGCCUUGGCUGAAAUGCAUCAUUCUAAAGAAAGUGCAGAUAUCUCCUGAUCAUCUCCAGAUAUUGUGUUCAUCCUUCUAUUGUACAGCACUGCGGCACAUGUUGGGCUUUUUAGCAUUAUAAUAAAAUGAAAGCAUAAUAAUA